rnacentral:rRNA from 1 species
CCUACGGGUGGCAGCAGCAAGGAAUCUUCGGCAAUGGGCGCAAGCCUGACCGAGCAACGCCGCGUGGAGGACGACGGCCUUCGGGUUGUAAACUCCUUUUUGGGGGGAUGACACGGACCGUACCCCCAGAAUCAGCCCCGGCUAACUCUGUGCCAGCAGCCGCGGUAAUACAGAGGGGGCAAGCGUUGUCCGGAUUUACUGGGCGUACAGCGCGCGCAGGCGGUUGCGUAUGUGACCGGUGACAUUCGCGGGCUCAACCCGCGACGGCCCGGUUACACAGCGCGACUGGAGGCAGGGAGAGGGAUGUGGAAUACCCGGUGGAGCGGUGAAAUGCGUAGAGAUCGGGUGGAACACCAGCGGCGAAGGCGGCAUCCUGGCCCUGACCUGACGCUGAGGCGCGAUAGCGUGGGGAGCAAACGGGAUUAGAUACCCUAGUAGUC